UUCAUUAUUUCCAAAAUCCAAAUAAAUUGCAAAGUUCAUCCUCUCCCAAAAUAUUCUUUCUCUAGAAACUUAAGGAAGAAGAAGAAGGAGAUUCAAGUUAGGAUUCAAGAAGGAAGGUUCUUCAUAUCAAAUCCAUUGGGCUUUAUUGUUAAGGGUUCGGUUCUUGAGGUGAUCAUUCUCGUGGCUAGACUUGGACUUGAUUGUUUUCCGAGCUUGGGCUUUUGCUAGAAGGAAUGAUGAAGACAAUGUGAACCAAGGAGCUCCUUCUCAAGCUCCUCGAGCUUUGAUUGAUCUCGAGAAUGUAACAAAUGAGGAGUUUAGGGGGCCUUUCAAGUUUUGGCUCAAGCCGUAUAUAUAGCUAAUAAUAGUGGUUCUUAUGUUAUAUCUCACAUGGUCUCAUGUUGAUUAAGAUUUAUUUCCACAACAAUAACAAGAAUAUGAUUUUAUGAACAAUAGUUACUCAAUAAGUUGUGUGUAUGAGUUUUAAAAGGCUUUUAAUAUGAUGGUGAUUAUGUUGGCUAUGUUUUA